rnacentral:misc_RNA from 1 species
CGGGGUGAACCACGAAGCAAUCUCUGCNUCCCACUCCUCCCGCAUUCGNUUGUGGUUGUGGAUUGGUCCGCAGGGUAUUCGCUUGAGCUCUCGGUUGCGGUGCAUUAUAUGCGGGCACGAGGACUCGCGUCCUCUAUCUGCCCGAACAAAAAGCUUUCAUCGCUUAGCUGCGAACGAUUGCGAUCCCCGUUUCGAGCCUUCGGGNCA